UACGUAGGUGGCAAGCGUUGUCCGGAUUUACUGGGCGUAAAGGGAGCGUAGGCGGAUUUUUAAGUGGGAUGUGAAAUACCCGGGCUUAACCUGGGUGCUGCAUUCCAAACUGGAAGUCUAGAGUACAGGAGGGGAAAGUGGAAUUCCUAGUGUAGCGGUGAAAUGCGUAGAGAUUAGGAAGAACACCGGUGGCGAAGGCGACUUUCUGGACUGUAACUGACGCUGAGGCUCGAAAGCGUGGGGAGCAAACAGG
rnacentral:rRNA from 1 species